rnacentral:rRNA from 1 species
GGAGUAGCUUUCCAAUUAGGCUACAAAAUCAACUUUUAGCGUAAAAAACAAACUAUAACUAAACCCUUCCCAGCCCUAACUAACCUACUCCAACAAACCAUAAUCUCAGAACUCGGAUUAGAUACCCGACUACUGUAUGGCUCAACACACAAAAGAAUACUACGAGCGAAAGCUUAAACCUCAAACAAUGUGGCGGUGCUUUACUCCUCAUCAGGGGAUCCUGUGGCUUAAUUCGAUAAUCCACGAAAAUCUUAGCCAUUCUUGUACACAGCUUGUGUAUGGCCGUUUAUGCUUGCUCAUAGAAGAAACAAAAGGAAGCAAUAAGGUUAACAACCCAAAAAUUCAGGUAACAUACAGCCAAUGAGUAGCAGACCCAUGGGAUACAAAUAAACACACUAUCAAAUUUAGAACUUAAAACUUUAAUGAAGGAGGACUUGAAAGUAAGGUUUCAACUACACAAAACAAACCUGGACAAGAACUAAAGCGCGCACAAAUCGCCCGUCACUCCGACAAUAAAGUAGGAUAAGUCGUAACAUAGUAGGGGUAAUGGAAAUUGCCCCUAUUACA